rfam:Daucus carota subsp. sativus cultivar DH1 chromosome 3, whole genome shotgun sequence.
AAGCUGACGAUGAGUUACUGAAAUUCCUCCCCAGAGCAUCAUAAAUGAUGCAAAAUCGAGUUUCCAAUGCA